GCACACACCCACCUCAGCAGCACACACAGUAACAUUGCAACAACACAGAGAAGAUCGGCAUGGCCCCUGACAGAGAGGACACACGAAUUUAUGAAGUGGUCCAUAUUUAA
ensembl:snRNA LOC120096465 U6 spliceosomal RNA